rnacentral:rRNA from 1 species
UGGGGAAUAUUGGACAAUGGGCGAAAGCCUGAUCCAGCCAUUCCGCGUGAGUGAUGACGGCCCUAGGGUUGUAAAGCUCUUUCAACGGUGAAGAUAAUGACGGUAACCGUAGAAGAAGCCCCGGCUAACUUCGUGCCAGCAGCCGCGGUAAUACGAAGGGGGCUAGCGUUGUUCGGAAUUACUGGGCGUAAAGCGCACGUAGGCGGAUUGUUAAGUUAGGGGUGAAAUCCCAGGGCUCAACCCUGGAACUGCCUCUAAUACUGGCAAUCUCGAGUUCUAGAGAGGUGAGUGGAAUUCCGAGUGUAGAGGUGAAAUUCGUAGAUAUUCGGAGGAACACCAGUGGCGAAGGCGGCUCACUGGCUAGAUACUGACGCUGAGGUGCGAAAGUGUGGGGAGCAAACAGGAUUAGAUACCCCCGUAGUCC